rnacentral:rRNA from 1 species
CCUACGGGAGGCAGCAGUGGGGAAUAUUGGACAAUGGGGGGAACCCUGAUCCAGCGACGCCGCGUGAGUGAAGAAGUAUUUCGGUAUGUAAAGCUCUAUCAGCAGGGAAGAAAGAAAUGACGGUACCUGACUAAGAAGCCCCGGCUAACUACGUGCCAGCAGCCGCGGUAAUACGUAGGGGGCAAGCGUUAUCCGGAUUUACUGGGUGGAAAGGGAGCGUAGACGGCGAUGCAAGUCUGAAGUGAAAGGCGGGGGCACAACCCCCGGACUGCUUUGGAAACUGUAUGGCUGGAGUGCAGGAGAGGUAAGUGGAAUUCCUAGUGUAGCGGUGAAAUGCGUAGAUAUUAGGAGGAACACCAGUGGCGAAGGCGGCUUACUGGACUGUAACUGACGUUGAGGCUCGAAAGCGUGGGGAGCAAACAGGAUUAGAUACCCCAGUAGUC